AUCUACAACAUGACAACAGAACAGACAAAUGGUUUCGGAUUUCCGAGUGGUAUGACAAACUGCAUACACUUUGUUUCUUACAAGAUUCGUCUUAGGACAAUAAAAUUUUCUUCAUCCUCAAAAAGCAGUUUUUGCCAUUGGGGUACUAGUGCUCACUGAGAAUGCAUGCUAUAAAAGAUAGAACCAGGACCCAAGAGAGGUGGAUUUGUCUCCAAAGAAUUUUGUGGCAAUGAAAGCUGUCAAAGAAGCAGGUAGUUCCAUAAGGUAGAAAACUUUGUCACUGGAGACAAUUACCUAAAGUUUAAAUAGCAUCAAGGAAACUAUGAAAAGGCUUUCUGAUCUGAUCCUGGAUCUUUCCAAGUCAAGACCUUUCUGACUUCUUGUCUUCAAAGCAGGCUUUUCAUACUCUGUCAAACGCCAUUUAAAAUAUGAAUAGCACUUGGCAUUUGUAUAAGUUUUCCUGCUUUUCAAAAUAUCCAAUGUCUACCACCUCAUUCAAAUACUGCAAGUCUGAUUUUCUAAGCAAUCUUGAAGUAAAUGACACUGUGUCCAACACAAUGGAACCAGGACAGCUGGGUACAAGGACAUUUCUUUGCCUCAGGGACUCAGAGCUCCUCACAAAGUUACACAUUCUAAAAGUGACAGUGGAGGGAAAACUCACAUGUUUGGGCUGAAUUUCAAUUCUGCGUAUGAGUUCUGUAUUGUCCCAGUCAUAGAAAGCUAAGCCGUUUACAGAUCUGACUCCCAAUAAGAAGCCUCCAUAGAUACCUGAAAAGAAAAAAGAUUUUUGGGUAGAUGUUUCUGAGCCAUUGCAAAGCUUCUAAAAAUCUAUCAUUUAUAAAUAGCACUCACUUUCUGCUCCAAAAUCUGGUUUAAAGGAUUUUUUUUCCUUAAAGUUCUUAAAUAUCUUUACAACACUGUUGCUCUCUCUUAUUGCGUAUCUGGGGGGAAACGGAAGGCAAACACAGCAUGUUAUAUACCAAACCAUACUUCCAUCGAAUGUCAGAAAUAUCUUCAGGUAUACUUGAGUAAUGACUUAUGAGUUUCACACUGUCUGUUACACAAAUUAUUAGAGUUUACAAGCUAUUUUAAAAACUGAGAAAGACCCAACAUCCCUCAGUAGAUGAGUGAUUAAACCAACUGUGGUACAUUCAUGCAAUGGAACACUGCUCUG